rnacentral:rRNA from 1 species
UACGUAGGGGGCUAGCGUUGUCCGGAUUUAUUGGGCGUAAAGAGCGUGUAGGCGGCCAAGUAGGUCUGGUGUGAAAACUCGAGGCUUAACCUCGAGAUGUCAUCGGAAACCAUUUGGCUAGAGUCCGGAAGAGGAGAGUGGAAUUCCUGGUGUAGCGGUGAAAUGCGCAGAUAUCAGGAAGAACACCAAUGGCGAAAGCAGCUCUCUGGGACGGUACUGACGCUGAGACGCGAAAGCGUGGGGAGCGAACAGG